rfam:Sus scrofa chromosome 15.
UAGUCUAAUGGCUAGGAUUCCUGGUUUUCAACCAGGCCACUCAGGUUCAAUUCCUGA